AGCACCUUGUGAAGACCAUGAACUUUCCCUGGCUCCUAGUUUGGGGUUACCACUGUGCCAGGCUUUUAUGGAGUUUGAAAAAGGAAAUUGUGACAAAGCAGUAGACCUGCUGUAUCCAAUCCGUUACCAGCUAAUCCAACUAGGAGGCAGUAAUGCUCAGAGAGAUGUUUUCAACCAGUUAUUGAUUCAUGCUGCUUUAAAUUGUAAAUCAAAAGCCAAACAAAACCUUGCUAAAUGCCUCCUGAGGGAACGCGACGUGAUGAGACCAAAUUCACCAAUGACAGAGCGACUUAUGAGGAAGGCAGCAGCAGUUCAUUCAAUGGCUUAAAUCUGUCCUCUGUGCUUGAGAUAGCAAUGUGCUUAGCAAUCAAAGUCUGGGUGCAGGGAGUGGAAGAGUGCUAUGCUGUAGCCCAUGCUAGAGAAUCACACCUUUUGAAUCCUGUGGACAGUCAUAGUUCACUGCUCUUCAGGUAUGUCACUACCUUAUCUGUCCAGCCAUGGCUGUGAUUGGCUCACUCAGUGAUAAAGUUAGUGCAUUUUUUUUUACUGUUAAUUUUUAAUCACGGCAUGUCAAGCAAUGACUUUAGACAGAUAAAUUUUUACUCAAGGGAUGUAAUAAAUCUUACUAUGCAACAAAAGUCUGAGAAAUC
rnacentral:lncRNA from 1 species